UACGUAGGGUGCAAGCGUUGUCCGGAAUUAUUGGGCGUAAAGAGCUCGUAGGCGGUUUGUUGCGUCGGCUGUGAAAUCCCGAGGCUCAACCUCGGGUCUGCAGUCGAUACGAGCAAACUAGAGUGUUGCAGGGGAGACUGGAAUUCCUGGUGUAGCGGUGAAAUGCGCAGAUAUCAGGAGGAACACCGGUGGGCGAAGGCGGGUCUCUGGGCAACAACUGACGUGGAGGAGCGAAAGCGUGGGAGCAACAGG
rnacentral:rRNA from 1 species